GAUGAACGCUGGCGGUAUGCCUAACACAUGCAAGUCGGACGGUGUUUUCGGACACAGUGGCGGACGGGUGAGUAACGCGUGAGAAUCUGCCAUUUGGAUGGGGAUAACAGAAGGAAACUUCUGCUAAUACCCAAUAUGCAGGAAUGUGAAAUAAAUUUUGCCAAAUGAGGAGCUCGCGUCCGAUUAGUUAGUUGGUGGGGUAAGAGCCUACCAAGGCAGCGAUCGGUAGCUGGUCUGAGAGGAUGAGCAGCCACACUGGGACUGAGACACGGCCCAGACUCCUACGGGAGGCAGCAGUGGGGAAUUUUCCGCAAUGGGCGAAAGCCUGACGGAGCAAUACCGCGUGAGGGAGGAAGGCUUUUGGGUUGUAAACCUCUUUUAUUAAGGAAGAAGAAAGUGACGGUACUUAAUGAAUCAGCAUCGGCUAACUCCGUGCCAGCAGCCGCGGUAAUACGGAGGAUGCAAGCGUUAUCCGGAAUCAUUGGGCGUAAAGCGUCCGCAGGUGGUUAAUCGUGUCUGCUGUUAAAGACAGAAGCUCAACUUCUGAUCGGCAGUGGAAACUGGUUAACUAGAGUACGGUAGGGGUUGAGGGAAUUCCCAGUGUAGCGGUGAAAUGCGUAGAUAUUGGGAAGAACACCAGUGGCGAAGGCGCUCAACUGGGCCGUAACUGACACUCAGGGACGAAAGCUAGGGUAGCGAAAGGGAUUAGAUACCCCUGUAGUCUUAGCUGUAAACGAUGAACACUAGGCGUUGCUUGUAUCGACCCGAGCAGUGCCGUAGCCAACGCGUUAAGUGUUCCGCCUGGGGAGUACGCACGCAAGUGUGAAACUCAAAGGAAUUGACGGGGGCCCGCACAAGCGGUGGAGUAUGUGGUUUAAUUCGAUGCAACGCGAAGAACCUUACCAGGACUUGACAUCUCGAGAACCCUGCUUAAUGGCGGGGGUGCCUUAGGGAACUCGAAGACAGGUGGUGCAUGGCUGUCGUCAGCUCGUGUCGUGAGAUGUUGGGUUAAGUCCCGCAACGAGCGCAACCCUCGUUCUUAGUUGCCAGCAUUAAGUUGGGCACUUUAGGAAGACUGCCGGUGACAAACCGGAGGAAGGUGGGAAUGACGUCAAGUCAGCAUGCCCCUUACGUUCUGGGCUACACACGUACUACAAUGGUUGGGACAAAGGGUAGCCAACUCGCAAGAGAGAGCCAAUCCCAUCAAACCCAGCCUCAGUUCAGAUUGCAGGCUGCAACUCGCCUGCAUGAAGGAGGAAUCGCUAGUAAUCGCAGGUCAGCAUACUGCGGUGAAUUCGUUCCCGGGCCUUGUACACACCGCCCGUCACACCAUGGAAGUUGGCCACGCCCGAAGUCGUUACCCUAACCAAUUUAUUGGAGGGGGAUGCCGAAGGCAGGGCUGGUGACUAGGGUGAA
rnacentral:rRNA from 1 species